GGGCGAUUAGCUCAGUGGUAGAGCGCUUCGUUCACAUCGAAGAUGUCAGAAGUUCGAAUCUUCUAUCGCCCA
rnacentral:tRNA from 1 species